rnacentral:rRNA from 1 species
AUGAAACACUCCUACGGGAGGCAGCAGUGGGGGGUAUUGCACAAUGGGCGGAAGCCUGAUGCAGCGACGUCGCGUGAGGGAUGGAGGCCUUCGGGUUGUGAACCUCUUUCUCCGGUGGUGAAGGCCCCGCCCUUCGUGGUGGGGUUGACGGUAGCCGGGUAUGAAGCGCCGGCUAACUACGUGCCAGCAGCCGCGGUAAUACGUAGGGCGCGAGCGUUGUCCGGAAUUAUUGGGCGUAAAGGGCUUGUAGGCGGCCGGCCGCGUCCGUCGUGAAAUCCUUCGGCUCAACCGGGGGCUUGCGGUGGGUACGGGUCGGCUGGAGUGCGGUAGGGGAGGCUGGAACUCCUGGUGUAGCGGUGGAAUGCGCAGAUAUCAGGAGGAACACCGGUGGCGAAGGCGGGCCUCUGGGCCGUUACUGACGCUGAGGAGCGAAAGCGUGGGGAGCGAACAGGAUUAGAAACCCCUGUAGUCCGAAGUUC